GAGAACAUGCACUGGUGAAGGGACAGUCUCUUCAAUAAAUGGUGCUGGGAAAACUGGAUAACAGUAUGCAGAAAAAUGCAACUAGACCCCCUAUCUUUCACCUUAAACAAAUAUCAAAUAAAAACAGAUUAGAUUUAAAUCUAUGACCUGAAACUAUAAAACUACUAGAAGAAAACAUUGAGAAAAUAUCCCAGGACGUUGGUCUAGGCAAAGGCUUUUUAUGGAAGACCUCAAAAGUACAAGCAACCAAGCAAAAAUAGACAUAUGGAUUACAUCAAGCUAAAAUGCUUCUGCACAGCAAAGGAAACAAUCAGCAAAGUGAAGAGACAACUCACAGAAUGGG